UUGCACUGAUAAAUGUCUCCUAGUCUUUUUGGCUUUGGGGGUUUAUGUUCGGUGCCAGAGUAAAAUCCCUUCGAGCAGAAAGGCCAGGUUCUGUGGUGACCUGUCCCUUCCGAUAGUUGGGUACACAC